rnacentral:rRNA from 1 species
GAUGAACGCUGGCGGCGUGCCUAAUACAUGCAAGUCGAGCGAACGGACGAGAAGCUUGCUUCUCUGAUGUUAGCGGCGGACGGGUGAGUAACACGUGGAUAACCUACCUAUAAGACUGGGAUAACUUCGGGAAACCGUAGCUAAUACCGGAUAAUAUUUUGAACCGCAUGGUUCAAAAGUGAAAGACGGUCUUGCUGUCACUUAUAGAUGGAUCCGCGCUGCAUUAGCUAGUUGGUAAGGUAACGGCUUACCAAGGCAACGAUGCAUAGCCGACCUGAGAGGGUGAUCGGCCACACUGGAACUGAGACACGGUCCAGACUCCUACGGGAGGCAGCAGUAGGGAAUCUUCCGCAGUAGGCGAAAGCCUGACGGAGCAACGCCGCGUGAGUGAUGAAGGUCUUCGGAUCGUAAAACUCUGUUAUUAGGGAAGAACAUAUGUGUAAGUAACUGUGCACAUCUUGACGGUACCUAAUCAGAAAGCCACGGCUAACUACGUG